rnacentral:rRNA from 1 species
GGACUGGGAUAACCCUGGGAAACUGGGGAUAAUACCGGAUAGGCAAUUUUUCCUGUAAUGGUUUUUUGUUUAAAUGUUUUUUCGCCUAAGGAUGGGUCUGCGGCCGAUUAGGUAGUUGGUUAGGUAAUGGCUUACCAAGCCGUUGAUCGGUACGGGUUGUGAGAGCAAGAGCCCGGAGAUGGAACCUGAGACAAGGUUCCAGGCCCUACGGGGUGCAGCAGGCGCGAAACCUCCGCAAUGUGAGAAAUCGCGACGGGGGGAUCCCAAGUGCCAUUCUUAACGGGAUGGCUUUUCAUUAGUGUAAAGAGCUUUUGGAAUAAGGGCUGGGCAAGACCGGUGCCAGCCGCCGCGGUAACACCGGCAGCUCUAGUGGUAGCAGUUUUUAUUGGGCCUAAAGCGUCCGUAGCCGGUUUAAUAAGUCUCUGGUGAAAUCCUGUAGCUUAACUGUGGGAAUUGCUGGAGAUACUAUUAGACUUGAGACCGGGAGAGGUUAGAGGUACUCCCAGGGUAGAGGUGAAAUUCUGUAAUCCUGGGAGGACCGCCUGUUGCGAAGGCGUCUAACUGGAACGGUUCUGACGGUGAGGGACGAAAGUUAGGGGCGCGAACCGGAUUAGAUACCCGGGUAGUCCUAACUGUAAACGAUGCGGACUUGGUGUUGGGGUGGCUUUGAGCUGCUUCAGUGCCGAAGGGAAGCUGUUAAGUCCGCCGCCUGGGAAGUACGGUCGCAAGACUGAAACUUAA